GGUGCUCAUCAGGGAAAGGAAGAGCCCUACAAUGCUAGAGAGCAUGGGUCUGGGUUCUGGUUCUGAAUGGUUGUGCUGAGAUGUUCUCCUCCUGUUCACCAUUCAAAGCCUAGUGUGGCUGACUGGGAAGACUCGUUGAGCUGUCCUGCUUGCUUCAAAGUUCUAUGUGUCUGAAGGGAAAUGAGCGAAGAGCCACCUCGUGUCUAUGCUCUGUGGUUUGUGGUGGAGAUGAUUGCUUUGGCAACUGGCCUUCAGGGCUGCUAGCACCCUGGCAGCCAUCCUACAGCCACAUGAGAGCCACCUAAACAGGAUGUUCUCUCCAGCUUCCAGGACCCCCAGGAUGCAUUCCUGUCGCCAAUGAGAUCUUUACUUCUGUGGCUGAUGGGCUCUGAGUGAGCCCAGUCUGGAGAAGGGCUGCUGUCUCACCUUUCCCCAGCACCUGUGGUGGGAUGAGCUCCCCUCCCAGCAAUGGGCUGCAGAGAGGAGGAGGAAGGACGUGGCUGGGGCAGCCCAGAGCUAUUUGCAGAGCUCUGCUCUUGACCCAGGAGUAGGAUUACAGCCUUCUAGUUACACUUUCCCCGGUGCAAACCAAUGCUGAAACAGUGCUGCGAGGGCUUGGAUGCAGUGCAGCUGUAAGGAAUAACUGAGCCGUGUAUGUAAAUCUAUUAUUUCUACAGUUAUUGUGGCUUCUGCUUUGUCUCCGUUAUCUGAGAAGGCGACUCCUGGCAUUCUAAUAAAACUAUGGAGUUAAUUUUAAUUACUGACAUCUGCAGCUUGGGUUGCUAUAGAAACACAAAGAACUGCCACUUCUACAAGUUUCAUCUGUAACUUGCUGCCUGGAAGUGUGUGGGGUCUGAUUCCUCCCUCCCAUCUCACAGUAGCAAAGCAGGGAUGGCUGCUGCAUCGGUCAACUGUAAAGGCUGUACAGUGAGUAUAGGUGAGAGGAAAAUCUCCAUCUUAUCUGUGCCAUUUCUCUGUAAUUGUCAAAUAAAAUCAGUAUGUUCCCAGUUUCCUAAUGACUUUAAAAACAGUCCCCAGUCAGUUGAUGAAAGAAACUGGAGCACAAAAUGGUUGAUAUUAGAGUUGAAAAGCAGCUAUUAGGUCAUGCAGUCCCCAUGCAGAAUUGUUCCUAUGCUAUUUUUUCCUACUACUUUUCACUGUCUAAUUAUAAAUGCAGCUGCAUUUGUAACAAAAUCCCCUUCAGUUUUAGUUUUAGGGCCAGAAUCUCACACCCAGAGCACAAGUUACUGGACAAAGGAGGUUAUCUGAGUGUCUCCAUUCUGAACUCCCUUGUCAGUUUGCAGCUACCUUUGUAGGCUGAGUCUUUAAGUUUUUAUUCUUCUGUCUGGGAGUUAAUACAUAGAUAACUCUGAAAGUAAUGCUUCCUAUUUAUUUCCAUGGAAACUACAGCAGAUACAAAGAGCGCAGUGACACAACUGUAUACUGCAAAUGCUCAGCUACAAAACACUACUUUUCAAUAAAGUGACCUUUAUGAGCUAUGUAUUUUUGCCAGUAAUGAACGAGGGCCUGCAUGCUGUGCUUGUAAAGCCAGCACCAGCAGAGGUGACCCACUGUCACCAUUGCUGAAACGCACCACCCGUUGCCUCGCUGUGCUCACACCCUCUGCUUGGUCUCCAUAAACAUUUAGCAAGCGUCC
rnacentral:lncRNA from 7 species